AGCGAACGCUGGCGGCAGGCCUAACACAUGCAAGUCGAACGAAGUCUUCGGACUUAGUGGCGGACGGGUGAGUAACACGUGGGAACGUGCCUUUAGGUUCGGAAUAACUCAGGGAAACUUGUGCUAAUACCGGAUGUGCCCUUCGGGGGAAAGAUUUAUCGCCUUUAGAGCGGCCCGCGUCUGAUUGGCUAGUUGGUGAGGUAAAGGCCCACCAAGGCGACGAUCAGUAGCUGGUCUGAGAGGAUGAUCAGCCACAUUGGGACUGAGACACGGCCCAAACUGCUACGGGAGGCAGCAGUGGGGAAUCUUGCGCAAGGGGCGAAAGCCUGACGCAGCCAUGCCGCGUGAAUGAUGAAGGUCUUAGGAUUGUAAAAUUCUUUCACCGGGGACGAUAAUGACGGUACCCGGAGAAGAAGCCCCGGCUAACUUCGUGCCAGCCGCCGCAGUAA
rnacentral:rRNA from 1 species